CAGUAGCCGCGGGAAUACGGAGGGUGCAAGCGUUAAUCGGAAUUACUGGGCGUAAAGCGCACGCAGGCGGUCUGACAAGUCAGAUGUGAAAUCCCCGGGCUUAACCUGGGAACUGCAUUUGAAACUGUCAGGCUGGAGUCUUGUAGAGGGGGGUAGAAUUCCAGGUGUAGCGGUGAAAUGCGUAGAGAUCUGGAGGAAUACCGGUGGCGAAGGCGGCCCCCUGGACAAAGACUGACGCUCAGGUGCGAAAGCGUGGGGAGCAAACAGGAUUAGAGACCCGAGUAGUCCCUGUCUCUUAUAC
rnacentral:rRNA from 1 species